CGUUUAUUGUCCUCCGCGAUGCAACGAACAUGCUUUGCCUAGAAGUUUGAUAUUGAUCAGAAUAUCUAUUAUAUGUAUAACAACAAAUAUCAGAUUUACAGAAUUAUAGAAUAGAGGAACUCAUUGAUCAAGGAGCAAUCUGUUUGGUUUUUUUUGUAUGAAAUAUGCACACAGUUUUCAUUUGCCGUAGAAAUGUAAGAAAUAUGCAAAUGUUGUAGCUUUAGGAAUAUAUCGUAAUACAUGUGGGAAAACACCUCAGCUUAGUGACCAUACCAGGCCCAUGGUUGGUGACCGGAAAGAUUUAUUUUUACACUUUCUAUAUUUGUAUUUUAUAAUUAGUUAGUGGAAUUUACAUGUUUUUCACCAAAUCAUACAGUAAGGUUAUUCGCAGGAGCAGAGAGAGAAAAAGCUUUUUGAAACUUUUCGUGUUUUAUACUGCAUACUGUUUAUGUAAUGUGUUUAUUUGUGGAGCAUAUCCUGUUGUCAUGGCAAUGCAAGUUGUUUUAUGUCGACCACCACACCUUCAUUCCAACAAAAAAAUAUUUUUUUUCGGGACCAGCUUUUAUCACAUCAGUGAUUCAGGCUGCCAGGGUUGUUGUUGACUUUUAAUUCUAUAUGACCGGUAUUUGUAAGAAAUAUGACAUCCUACCCUUGCAUUUGCAGAGUAGGGCCAAAAAAUAACAAUUUGCAUAUUUAUACUGCACAGUUUCUAUUACUGAAUGUAAUGCUAAAAGCAGUAUAAUAUGAGGGGCGGUGGGGUAGCCUAAUGGUUAGAGUGUUCGCUUGUCAUGCCAAAGACCCGGGUUUGAUUCCCCACAUUGGUACAAAGUGUGAAGCCCAUUUUUGGUGUCCCCAACUGUGAUAUUGCUGGAUUAUUGCUAAAAGUGGGGUAAAACUAAACUCACUCAAUACUCUAUGACCCCAGUCAGGAUAGUAUGCACUUGAGUCAUUCUCAACUCCUUGGGGAGUAUGCAAGAUAUCAAUGCCUAUAUUUGAAAUAAAUGAAACUCAAGAUGCAAAUGAAGCGUGAACUAGAGCAUAUAUUCAAUGUUGUUUUGUUUUAAAUUUUAAAAUAUACACUCAAAUUGCAAGUAUAUCUAUAUGGUGGUUUGGUUACUAAGGAUUCCAGUUAGCCUGAAGCUGUGUCUUUUUUACAGUGUAUUGCUAUGCAUUAAGUGAUAUUCUUCCCUUAUCAUUCCACUGGGACAAAGAAUAGGGGUGUUUAUACUAAACGAUUCCUCCUUCCUCUGGUGAAUCAUAUUUAGAUGCUGUGUUGGCAUGGUAACAUUCCUGUGUUUUCUUUGUGAUGUGUGGAUUGGUUUAUCUGAUUAUGCAACAAGCUUUGAUGAAAAUAUUUAUUCACAUUUGUUACAUUCCCUAUAUAAUAAAAUAGUGCUGUAAUGAUCUAUUACAUUCAUGAAUUGUCAUGUCAAGGGGAGGUAACUCCUUAUCUAAGGUUAUCUGCUUGUGUGUUAACUUGCUCAAGAAAUGAAGCUUUUUACUCUGAAUGAAGUUAGCAUGUCAAAGGGAAGUAACUCCUAGUCUAAGGAGGUAAUAUGUACUGCAGAGUUAUGACCCUUAGCUAUUGCAUGUUUCCAUGUCAAAUACUGGACCGUCUGGUCUGGUCCAAAAUUGAUUGUUUACAGACUGAAAUCAUGUAGCUGGAAUAUUGCUGAGAGUGGAAUUAUACAUACAAACAAACAAACAUUCUGCAUAUCAUAUUGAACAUGUGCAACAGCGGCUAUUUAGAUCAGAAUAAUCUAGUCAAGUUCAUAGAGCUGUGUAGUAGAGUGUAGACUCUGGUUAAAUGAAGUCAGGUCUGCUUCCCAUAACUUAAUCCAUACCUAAAUUCAGUAAUCAUUUGUUUGUGAUAUAUGCAAAUUAAGUUUGUGCUGCAUUGCACUGAGCAACAAAAAAAAUGACCCUUGAAGUCUAGUGAUUAAAGUGAACCAACUGCGUCAAAUUAUUCUGAAUGUUGAACCAAACCAGUAAUAAAGACUUAAGACAAGAGGCAAGAAAAUAACUGUGUUCCAUUUUAAGUAUGGAAUAAAAAUUUUCAACAGGAAUGCAAUUUGGCUAAGCCCAUGUCAAAUAGUCUUCUGUAUAGGGCGGAGGGGUAAUCCAGUGGUUAGAGUGUUCACUCGUACCAUGCCUCCCGGGUUCGAUUCCCCAUAUGGGUAUGAUCUGUGAAGCCCAUUUCUGGUGUCCCCAACCAUGAUAUUGCUAAAAGUGGAGUAAGACUAGACUCACAAACUCACUUACUAGUCCACUGUAAGAAGUAUUCAAGGGCAAGUGGAAUAUAUUGUAUCUUGUAAAGAUCAAUUGUGAUAACUUGUUGGGAUAGUAAACAUUUCUCAUUAAUUACAUCACUGAUUCAGUGAUUACCUGGAGAACAAGCAGAUUUCCUUUAAGUGUGUAUUUUUAUACUAAUUUAAUGUGUCACUUUAAUACUCAGAUUUUGAAUUUAUUAGAACCAAGUACCCACCUCAGCUUGGCAAUGUUGUAUGAGUUGAUUCCCCUGUGCCAUCUUCCCUCUAUGCAGAAAGGUCCAGAUUGUGAAGAUCAACAUUCAUCUAAUGAGUUGAAGUAGUGAUGUUCUCCAGUCUAGAUUGUGGCAAGUGAGACUGGCUCUUUAUAUGCACAAGGUCCACAAGUGACUUCCAGAUUAAUGUCACCAGCAUUACUACAGCCAUACUACAACUGCAAUGUUAUGGUUAGAAAUGGUUAGAAAUCGUCUGUCCAGUCUUGAAAGCUACAUUCACCCUUCUAAAUUGGUCUUUUUUUCACUGAUUGGAUUGGACUAGAUCGUUACAUUUCUGCACAUAGCAAAUAAGUUGUACGUUGAUUAUUUUUAUUUGAUACAUUGUUGUAUAUACCUGCUAUUAUGCAUCCCAUUUUGCACUUUCAUCAGAUCUUACGUAGAUUUUGUUUAGUUGGUUGAUAAAUAACAGCAUAAUCAUGAACCGUGUUUUGUGGAUUUUCAUGCAAUACUUUAUGUAGUUUGCACAGGCCCUGCAACAAAUAUAUAUACUGAGGGAAAAAAAAAGAUCACAUGAAAGGACAAGUGUUCCUUUAUUUUUUUCCAGGUUUCUUCACAAGCUUUGCAUCACAUAGCUUGUGGAGAAACCUGGAAAAAAAUAAGGGGACACUUGUGCUUUCAUGGGAUCCCUUAUUUUUUUCCCUCAAUAUAGUUAUCUACAGUUAGAAAGCCAAAAGGGACCACCAAGUUUAGUUCGUUAUAGCCAUGUUUUGUUUUACAGAUUUCGACUUAAAUAUACUGCAAGUGUGUGGGACCAAAAAUAUAGUUCGUAAUAUCCAUCACUGCGUAGUUUACUGUUUCCAAUCCAGCCCAUGCAAGUAAAUAAUAGUCGGCAAGUCUAGAUUACAGGGCUUCUUUUGGUAUAUUUUAUAGAAACUUUUUUCUGUAAAAUGUUUUUAUUUCAGAGGACAUAUACCUGUCUAUACUUCAUGGAGCCAUAUUGUUGAUGCAACUGUGGAUGGCUCUAACGAUAUAUUUUGAUGUGAUAUCAUACGCAGGAUGAUUCUUAAAUAAGUUCUCAUUAAAAUCUGACUCGUUCCACAAGGCGAUCUUAUUACUGUAAUUUUUAAUCUGUGCUGUGGAGGUUAUGAUUGUCUUAGUGCUAUUAUUGCUUUGAUGAAUAGGGCCUGCAUCUAUUGCUCUGAUGUGAUUCCUCUCUGUAAUAAGGACACCUUUAAAACUGGAAGUCUGGGGUCACAGUACCGUAGUAAGAUCUUGAGACAGAGAGGUGUCGCAUUGGAAUAAAAGAUCGGAGUUUAAUGAGAUUACACGAAGAUGUGUCUUGUAUGGUCUUUGGGAAUACUAUAAAGACAGAUAAAACUAACCAUUAUUCUAUUAUCUUGAGUCAGGUAUACUAACAUUGGUUUAGAAACAAUUCCACAAUUCAUUUACAUGUCAAUUUUUAUGCUUACAUGUACAUAUAUCAUUUUGUAUAGUUUCUUAUUCUUGUAUCCAUGGAGAUUCCAGGGGAGAAACAUUCCCAGCAAUGUACGUUUACCGUAAGGGGAUACUCGGUACCUUAUUGUGCAUCAUUAAACUGCACUUGAUGGUGAUUACAACUGGAUGGUGUUUCUUGGUAAGUUCAAAUAGCCGGAAAACUCACUAUCU